GAUGAACGCUAGCGGCAGGCCUAAUACAUGCAAGACGAACGGUAAGUUGAGUAGCAAUACUUAGCCAAGAGUGUCGUACGGGUGCGUAACACGUAUGCAACCUACCCUAUACAGGAGGAUAGCCUAGGGAAACCUGGAUUAACCCUUCAUAGUAUUAUUGGAUGGCAUCAUUUGAUAAUUAAAACUGAGGUGGUAUAGGAUGGGCAUGCGUCUGAUUAGUUAGUUGGCGGGUAAUGGCCCACCAAGACGAUGAUCAGUAGGGGUUCUGAGAGGAAGAUCCCCCACACUGGCACUGAGAUACGGGCCAGACUCCUACGGGAGGCAGCAGUAGGGAAUAUUGGACAAUGGGCGAAAGCCUGAUCCAGCAAUGCCGCGUGAGUGAUGAAGGCCUUAGGGUUGUAAAGCUCUUUUACCCGGGAUGAUAAUGCAGUACCGGAGAAUAAGCCCGGCUAAC
rnacentral:rRNA from 1 species